GCCUGGUUAGCUCAGUUGGUUAAGCAUCUGACUUCAGCUCAGGUCAUGAUCUCAUGGUUCAUGAGUUCAAGCCCCACACUGGGCU
rnacentral:tRNA from 1 species